GAUGAACGCUGGCGGCGUGCCUAAUACAUGCAAGUCGAGCGAAAAGACGCGGCGCUUGCUUCUCGGACGUUAGACGCGGACGGGUGAGUAACACGUGGGCAACGUCCCUAUAAGACAGGACUAACUUCGGGAAACAGGAGCUAAUACCGGCUAAUAUAUAGAACCGCAUGGUGCAAUAGUGAGAGACGUUGGUGCUGCCACUUAUAGAUUGAUCCGCGUCGGAUUAGAUAGUUGGUGAGGUAACGGCUUACCAAGGCGACGAUGUGUAGCCGGUCUGAGAGGACGACCAGCCACACUGGGACUGAGACACGGUCCAGACUCCUACGGGAGGCAGCAGUAGGGAAUCUUCCGCAAUGGGCGAAAGCCUGACGGAGCAACGCCGCGUGAGUGAUGAAGGUCUUCGGGUCGUAAACUUCUUUUAUUCGGGAAGAACAAGUUCUUAAGUAACUACGCAGGUAUUGACGGUACCGAAUGAAAAAGCCACGGCUAACUACGUG
rnacentral:rRNA from 1 species